rnacentral:tRNA from 1 species
CUAGUUGAAACCAAAUUAGAGGUAUAUUACUGUUAAUAAUAUAAUUGAAGUUAAAUUCCAAUUAAG